rnacentral:lncRNA from 1 species
AUCCUACUAGACUUUCUUUUGAUCUAUUUUUAUGUAUGGCAAAUUACAUAUUUAGACACAUCGUAUAUUUGUCUUUCAGUAUGCCUUGCUUCUUUUUGUUCAUUGUGUGAUGUAGCCUUAGUUUUCUUUAACCUAAUAGAUGGCAACAUUUCAACUAUUUUAUCUUAAUAUUGUUUAAAUGCUUUUCUUUGAAGAGCCCCCAGAGCGUGAGAAAACAGUUGAAGAAAGAUUCUAUGAAGCUGUUUACCCAAUUGAAGGUAGAUUGAUUAAGGAUGUGAGGCUAAACAAUAUUUGAGUUUAUUUGUUUGUUUGUUUGUUUGUUUGUUUGAAUUUGAAUCAAAUUCAUUGUGAGAUUUGCUGUUGAUUUUCGGUAUUAAGUUUUUUUACGUACUAGCAUACAUGUUUCAGUGACCAUUGUGUACUGGACACACAUAAUAUCUUCUUCAAGUUUUUCAGAUUUACUGUGGAUAUUGAUAUUACUUAUCUCAAAAUUUAAUAUCUUUAAAAUUCCUAUUAUAGCACAAAGGGAAGUUGAGGAGGAGGAAGAAGUCAUUUCUACAGAACUGGAGAUCCCUCACGUUGAAGGUGAAUAAAGUCUUUGCAUCAUUGUGCGCCCCAUUUUUCUGAACUUUCACUUUAUCUGUCUCUAAUACUGUUUACCAGAGGAUAGCAUAAAGUGACUGAGAUCUUUUCAUUUUUCUAUGGCUCUACUAUCCAAAGUUCAAGCCCUACUGCAUUUCUGAAUCUUAUUAUUCUUCAACACUGCUUUAAAUAAUUCUUUUAAUAGCUUUUUUGAGAUGAGUAUAUUGUAUAUGUUUGAUAAAACAGCAUAAUUUUUGAUAUAGAUUGUUUGCUUAUACACCAUGUUGAAAGCAGCCUACUGUGAUUUACCAAGUAUUUGAACUAUCUCCUAAAUGAUCACCACCUAUCUCUUUAAAGUGCCUGAGGUACCAAAGAGGCGUGUUCCAGAAGAAAGAAAGCCCAUUCCUGUCCCUAAAACAGAAGCUCCAGCGGCUAAAGUGCCUGAAGUCCCUAAGAAACCUGUUCCAGAAAAGAAAGUUGCUGUUGCUAAAAAGGAGGUGGCUCCCCCAGCAAAAGGUACAGUAUCUUUUGAAUGUGAGCUUUAACCAUUCACGUGCUAUUGUCCUGUUUUCCAAACUGUUAUUCAUUUCUCAACAUAACCAUCUGAUAUGUGCAGUCUUUGUGUGUUUUCUUGGAUGUGUGUUCUCAUCUAAGACAUUCAAAAACCUUAGAAAGAUUACUUAAAAGAAUUUUAAUACCUUUAGAGUUUCUAAAGUGCUAAAAAACCUGUGCCUGAAGAAAAAGUACGUUUGUGUUCCCAAAGGAGAACAUCUGCAUGCCAAAGACAUACUUACUGAU